rnacentral:rRNA from 1 species
GACGAACGCUGGCGGCGUGCUUAACACAUGCAAGUCGAACGGAAAGGCCCUGCUUUUGUGGGGUGCUCGAGUGGCGAACGGGUGAGUAACACGUGAGUAACCUGCCCUUGACUUUGGGAUAACUUCAGGAAACUGGGGCUAAUACCGGAUAGGAGCUCCUGCUGCAUGGUGGGGGUCGGAAAGUUUCGGCGGUGGGGGAUGGACUCGCGGCUUAUUAGCUUGUUGGUGGGGUAGUGGCUUACCAAGGCUUUGACGGGUAGCCGGCCUGAGAGUGUGACCGGGCACAUUGGGACUGAGAUACGGCCCAGACUCCUACGGGAGGCAGCAGUGGGGAAUAUGACACAAUGGGCGGAAGCCUGAGGCAGCAACGCCGCGUGCGGGAUGACGGCCUUCGGGUUGGAAACCGCUUUCGCCUGUGACGAAGCGGGAGUGACGGUAAUGGGUAAAGAAGCACCGGCUAACUACGUG